AUUGAACGCUGGCGGCAGGCCUAACACAUGCAAGUCGAGCGGAGCGGCGGACGGGGGAGUAAUGACUAGGAAUCUGCCUGGUAGUGGGGGAUAACGUCCGGAAACGGGCGCAAAUACCGCAUAAUAUAAGAUGAGCCUAGGUCGGAUUAGCUAGUUGGUGGGGUAAAGGCCUACCAAGGCGACGAUCCUAAACUGUUCUGAGAGGAUGAUCAGUCACACUGGAACUGAGCCACGGUCCAGACUCCUACGGGAGGCAGCAGUGGGGACUAUUGCACAAUGGGCGAAAGCCUGAUCCAGCCAUGCCGCGUGUGUGAAGAAGGUCUUCGGAUUGUAAAGCACUUUAAGUUGUGAGGCGUUACCAACAGAAUAAGCACCGGCUAACUUCGUGCCAGCAGCCGCGGUAAUUC
rnacentral:rRNA from 1 species